rnacentral:tRNA from 1 species
GCGCCUAUGGUGGAAAGGUAGACACGCGGGACUGAGAUGCCCGUGCUUCGGCGUGCAGGUUCAAGUCCUGCUAGGCGUACCA